rnacentral:lncRNA from 1 species
GUAGUUGAGUCAUGAACAAAGAAGUGACACAAAUGUUAUUCUGCAAUAAUCAAGUAACCAUUCUCCUGCCACUGAGCCGUUACUCCUGUUUCAACGCAGAGGAUACUCAUUAUCUAGUAUGUGAAAGUAGAAUGGGAAGGAAGCCUGAACAUCUCAAACAGAUAAGAUAUUUCUCAGAAAGAUGGUUUCUGGAAAGAUCAAGACAUCAAAGUCAUUCAGAGAUAAGAUUCAACAAUCAGCAUGAAAGGACCCUGAAACCUUACAACUGUGUUCAAGCAGGAUGCUACUUGUGCAGCAUGAGACACAUGUCUCCUCUCUCCUGA